rnacentral:rRNA from 1 species
AAGGGAUAGUAAUGCAUGGGCAAUCUACCCUCGACUCUGGGAUAUGCGGCGGAAACGCCGAGUAAUACUAGACGUCGUUAUUGAAGGACAUCCUUUGAUGACGAAAGGUCCGCCGGUCGAGGAGGAGCUCAUGUCCUAUCAGCUAGUUGGUGAGGUAACGGCUCACCAAGGCAAGGACGGGUAGCGGGUGUGAGAGCACGACCCGCAUCACUGGCACUGAGACACUGGCCAGACUCCUACGGGAGGCUGCAGUCGAGAAUCUUCGUCAAUGGGGGAAACCCUGAACGAGCGACGCCGCGUGGAGGAUGAAGGCCUUCGGGUUGUAAACUCCUGUUGGGAGGGAACAAAUUUUGAGUGACCUCCUGAGGAAGCACGGGCUAAGUUCGUGCCAGCAGCCGCGGUAAGACGAACCGUGCGAACGUUAUUCGGAAUCAUUGGGCUUAAAGGGCGCGUAGGCGGCGGUGUAAGUUGGAAGUGAAAUCCCAUCGGCUCAACCGUGGAAUUGCUCCCAGUACUGCAUCGCUCGAGGGGGAUAGGGGUUUGCGGAACUACCGGUGGAGCGGUGAAAUGUGUUGA